CACCAGUUCCACUUCUUUCGCGGUCAUCUUUUCAGUUAUCCUUGCAGACAAUUUCCAAGAGUGGACACAGUAAUGUAUUUCCUGCUACACCGAGGUUGUUAAAGGAAGAGGAAAAGGCUACAGAACUGAACGAACACAGAUCUUCUACAGACAGAGAGGCGAGAUCAGAAAGCGGACACACAGCUCCAGAGUGGUAGUAAACAAACAAUCAAAGGAAAUCUAGUUGCCACGUCGAGAAAUGGCAGAGGGAGAACAACUGAACAAUCUGCCCCCCCUCAUCCCCUACCCUGAGCAGAUAGAUAAGAAAAUAUAUAAAAAAAUGGUUUUGCAGGAAAAUCCAGAGACUUUAUAUCGUGAUGAAAAAAAAAGGUCUCCGUGCGACCUCAUUUUCUACACAACAAAUUGUUCUACAUGGGAAGAGGAAAUACUGAAACACUAUCCUGAGGGAGAAAAGUGGGAAAAAAGAUCGAAGGAAUAUUUCAAGCAACUGAAAACGAAGGCAGGCACUAUAAAUGUGUAUUAUACUACUGGGACAAUCAUGGUGCAGGAUAAUAGUGAGACGUUAAAGAUUUUCCCAAAUGAUUUCCCAGUCCUGCGCGAGAGAGUGAGAAAGAGUGUCAAGAGCGUCGAGACGACAGAGCAUGUCGAGGAGAAAAUGGCAAAGCUUGUCAUUGAGGAAAGAGGAGAGCAGAGGGAAAGAGAAAGCGAGGACAUAAAAGAGGAAGACAUAAAGAAGGAAAUAAAGGAAGAGGUGGGAGGAGGUAAGGAGUAGCACUGAACAUUCCAGGGCAGAUCAGAAGAGAAACAUUAUUUUACAGGAUGUAAAAUUUGAUGAACAAUUAUGCUAAAGCCUGCUGUUCCUCUUACCUUAUUACAAUAAUCAUUAUCUUGCUUUGGUUAUAGUUUAGCACUUUGCCAAUGAUAAAGGCACUUAAAGCAAAAAGGUGGUGGUCCCUGGGAAUUUCCCCAGCAAUAUGUGUUUUAUUUUUGUUUCAAAAUGUGUGCUUGUUAGGAUUUAUGUUUAUGCACUAUAGCCUGUUAGCAUAUUGUUUGAAGAUGAAUAUUGUUUUGUUACACACACACACACAAACAAUACAGAUGUGUGUGUGUGUAGGUGUGUAAGGACUGACCAACACAGGCCAUAAAAGCUGUGGUCAGUCUGGAGAGGGGAGGGGUGCAUCUCUCUAGGCCAACCAGGGAGGGUAGAUCACUAGACAAUACCAUAAUAGGAAAUGUUUCAGUGUAGAAUCGACAGACACAAGACGGAUCUAAUCUACCCAGCAACCAGAUGUGGACAAAGGAAAGAACUAAGGGGCUUGCACAAGUCCGGGUGCCCCCAAAGGCGGAGCAAGAGUCUAAACCAUGCUCAGCCUCUACUGUGAUAGGCCAACAGGCGCGUUGGAACUAAGUCAUCACGGUAUAAGAACAGCUGUUUACGUACUUCCUACCAGUUCCCUGUUUACCCUGCGAAGUGAUACAGCGAACCCGUAUAUACGAAAAUUGCAUUUGCCAUUCAUUGUUUGUGUAACAGGGUUUUAUUGGUGAUUCCCCUUGCCACUUUUUUGUUAAGCCAAUGGGUUUUUGGUUUUAGUUUUGUCUUGCCUUCACCUACUCAACAUGGCAUCUUAUUGGCUGGUUUGCGUAGCUUGCUUACGAGGGAUGAUGUUUCAGUUAGAAUCGUCUCAGUGAACAAGCACCAAACCAGUGGUAAGUUGUUGGUUGCAAAGCACUUUACAUCAAAAGUGAUUUUUAUACUCCCAAGUGAUGAUUUAAAUGUACAAUUUAGAUAAAUUUGUUUGUAAAUGUUAUUCGAAUAUCACACAUAAGAUGCAGUGUUUUUUGGAGAAUAUUGGUUGUGCAUUUUGGUUAUAAAGAAUUCCCGCCAGUACUAGCUAGCAACUUACUGUGUCUGGUGGGGGGGGUUCAUAUAUUUUGUACAGUGCGUGAGUGCAGAGUUGGAUGGUGAGCCGUGCAUUGCAUGACGUGCAGGUUUACUGUUCCUAUCAGGUACAUUGUUAAAGAUAUUAUAUUGUAUAUUGUAAUUGUAUUAUUUUGGUAACUACACCCCAGUGAAGAAGCACCAAACCAGCGCGCGUGAGUGCAGAGUUGGAUGGUGAGCCGUGCAUUGCAUGACGUGCAAUUUUGUGCUGUUCCUAUCAGAAUAAAUCUCCAUGACUGGUGCUACACGUUGGAGUUCGUGUCGAGGUUUGAUUGUACACAACGAAAGCCGAGUACUGUUACAUUUGCGGUAAUUAAACAUAAUUAAAGAAA